CCCAUCACUGCUGAAACUCCUCCUUCAUUUGUAGCAGGACCACCUUAAGGCUUGACACAAACUCAAGUUAUCUAAGAAGAAGGAAACUCAGUUGAAAAUGCCCUGGUCAGAUUGGUCUGUACGUAAGCCUGUGUGAUAUUUUCUUCAUUGAUUAUUAAGAUAGGCCUAGUAUACUCUGGGUGGUCCCACCCCUGGGCAGUUGAUUCUGAGGUAUAUAAGAAGGCAAGCUGAUUAAGCCAUGAGGAGCAAGCCAAUAAGCAGCAUUCCUCUAUGGCUUCUGCUUGAGUCCCUGCCUUCAGGUUCCUAUUAAGUUCUACCUGAUUGCUCUUUAUAAUGAACUGCAAACUGUAAAGUGAUGGAAACCCUUUCUUACCCAAGUUGUUUUGAGUCGUGUUUAUCUCAGCAAUAGAAAACCAAACUAAGAUAGCCCUAAUUUUCUUUUUUUUUCUAUUUUAUUUUUUAUUAUAUAUUUUCUUUAUUUAUAUUUCAAAUGCUAUCCCCUUUCCUGGUUUCCC
rnacentral:lncRNA from 1 species